UGAUCUCAAAUCAGGUAGGACUACCCGCUGAACUUAAGCAUAUCAAUAAGCGGAGGAAAAGAAACUAACAAGGAUUCCCCUAGUAACGGCGAGUGAAGCGGGAAGAGCUCAAAUUUAAAAUCUGGCAGUGUAUUCUGUCCGAGUUGUAGUCUAGAGAAGCAUCAUCCGUGCUGGACCAUGUACAAGUCUCUUGGAACAGAGCGUCAUAGAGGGUGAGAAUCCCGUCCUUGACAUGGACUCCCAGUACUUUGUGUUGUGCUCUCAACGAGUCGAGUUGUUUGGGAAUGCAGCUCAAAAUGGGUGGUAAAUUCCAUCUAAAGCUAAAUAUUGGCGAGAGACCGAUAGCGAACAAGUACCGUGAGGGAAAGAUGAAAAGCACUUUGGAGAGAGAGUUAAACAGUACGUGAAAUUGUUGAAAUGGAAACGCUUGAAGUCAGUCGCGUUCUCUGGGACUCAGCCUUGCUUUUGCUUGGUGUAUUUCCUAGUCUACGGGCCAGCAUGAGUUUUGACCAAUGGAAAAAGGCUUGGGGAAUGUGGCACCCUCGGGUGUGUUAUAGCCCCUUGUCACCAUA
rnacentral:rRNA from 1 species